AGUGGCUCUUGAGGUUAAUGUAGUUGGGAUGAAAUGGCCUCUAGCAAUUCCAGGUUCCCCAAUUACAUGUGGAAAGUUCUGGUAAUUAAUAUGCAGCUAACUACUUAUGCCCUUGAAAGUAUACCAGUCUUCUAGAAUCGGAGUUCUGGUGUAUGAAGAUUCAGUAUCGACAGGAUAUGUAUACCAAACUCCAGCCAGCAUACUGCCAUUUUACUUAACCUGAGAGGCUGCCUUGCUUAUUCUGAGCUAUGGUCACAGAAACUGUGGCCAUUUAUAUAAGCUAUAACAUCAAAUCAGGGAAUUAGAAAAAAAAAAAACGGGGAAAAGAUUCUGAACCAUAUAUUGUUGAAUAAGUAAAGAAAAUCACCAAUAAAUAUUUAUUGCAUUCUGACAGGGUGUAUGGCAUUGUAUUCUCAUAACUAUGCCAGAGUGACAAAGUUAUUUCACCCCUUUUGAGGGGACCUUAAUAUAUUUUUAAAGGGAUGUGCCUAUGCAUUGAUGCCUGAAAAAUAGGUGUAAAAAAAAAAAAAAAGAUGAACCUCUGAGUGCAUCAUCUUUCCCAGAGGUCAGGUGGGAGGAGGUCAACUUCUGGGUCUGUGUCCAGCCCAGGAGCAAGCGCUGGCCUUGGGAGCUGGAAGGCUAAAAUCUAGUCAAAUCUACUAAACAGCUUUGAGCUGUUCCCUGCACCAAAUCAAGCCGUUUCACCACGUGUCUGCAGGCUCUGAGGUUUUUAUUUUUUGGCGAUCUUCUAAAUGAAAUGUUCUGGUGUGUUUUAAAGACUAGAGGAAAGGUUGUGUUCACAACAUGAUUACUGUGUGUGUUCUGAGACCUCUUGUAUUCAUCUGUGAAGGGGACGUGUAUUAAUCCAUACACUCCUAUAGCCUCGACUAUUUGUCUGAAGACACUUAAAUUUUGACCAGUAAAGGAAAGUUCUAGAAGCAAUAUUUUCACUCCUUUAGCAUUGUCCAAAUAACAUCAAGUAUUAAUAAACGCUGAAGAGUGUAUUUAUUUUGUAUUACUCCAAGUCUGUUGGAAUAUGCAAGGACUGUGGUUAUAAUUAGAAUGUAUAAGGCAUAUUAUAAUUUAGUUCAUUCUGAAAAAGAAGUUAGCUGAACAUCUCUUGGUUCAUACAUGUUCCAAAUUUUGAACAAUCUUUUGAGUUAGCCAUAGAUUUUUCUAUUUUGUUUUUAUUUGUCAAGGUAUUUUUUUCUUCCCUUCAUGAACUUUAGGUACACAUAACUUAUGUCAUUUAUUUAUGGUCUUUUAUACCUAGUUUGUAAAGUUGUAAAAUAGCAAACUAAAUGCAAAGAGUUUGCAUUUGAAAGUAAUAAAGUAGUUGCCGUAUACAAACC
rnacentral:lncRNA from 1 species